rnacentral:rRNA from 1 species
GCUAGUCGACGAACUUUAUGUUAGUGGCACACUGCUCAGUAACACGUAGCUAACCUACCCUUAGGACGAGGACAACCCCGAGAAAUUGGGGCUAAUCCGCGAUAGGUGUGAUGUCCUGGAAUGGUAUCACGCCCAAAGGUGUUCGCACGCCUAAGGAUGGGGCUGCGGCCGAUCAGGCAGUUGGCGAGGUAACGGCUCACCAAACCUUUGACCGGUACGGGCCAUGAGAGUGGUAGCCCGGAGAUGGACACUGAGACAAGGGCCCAGGCCCUACGGGGCGCAGCAGGCGCGAAACCUCCUCAAUGCACACACGUGCAAAGGGGUUACCUCGAGUGCCGCCUGAUGAAGGCGGCUUUUCCGUGGUGUAGAAAGCCUAGGGAAUAAGAGGGGGGCAAGACUGGUGUCAGCCGUCGCGGUAACACCAGCCCCUCGAGUGGUGGGGAUGAUUAUUUGGCCUAAAGCGUCCGUAGCCGGCCGGAUAAGUCUCCCGUUAAAUCCAGCGUCUCAAGCGUUGGACUGCGGGAGAUACUGUCUGGCUAGAGAGUGGGAGAGGUAUACGGUAUUCUGGGGGUAGGGGCGAAAUCCAUUGAUCCCCGGAGGACCACCAGUGGCGAAGGCUGUAUACUAGAAUACGUCUGACGGUCAGGGACGAAAGCUGGGGUAGCGAACCGGAUUAGAUACCCGGGUAGUCCCAGCCGUAAACGAUGCACGCUAGGUGUUGGGUCGGCCACGAGCCGCCCCAGUGC